GGAGGUGAGGAUGAUCUGGCUGUGGCAUCUGUCAUCGUCGCGAUUGCCAGGGCUGGUUUGGCUGCUAGGACUGGCGAGGCAGCUGUCCCCAUCCUCCGUCCCUCACAACUUCCUGUGACUCACGCAAUAUUUUUAAAUACUACACAUAUAUCGUAUUUUUAGGUCAGUCCACCGUAAUGCAUUGAUAUAUUUAAUCAAUGUCUAAGGUUUUUCUCAAAAAAGAAAGUCUUGCCUUGUGGCUGUAUUUCAUUGCUAGCUGUUUUCAACAUUAAGUUCAAACU
rnacentral:snRNA from 1 species